CACGUAGGGGGCAAGCGUUGUCCGGAUUUAUUGGCGUAAAGAGCUCGUGAGCGGUUCGCUAAGUCGGGUGUGAAACCUCCAGGCUCACCUGGAGACGCCACCCGAUACUGGUGUGACUCGAGUCCGGUAGGGGAGCGUGGAAUUCCUGGUGUAGCGGUGAAAUGCGCAGAUAUCGGGAGGACACCAUGGCGAAGGCAGCUGC
rnacentral:rRNA from 1 species